rnacentral:pre_miRNA from 1 species
AGUGAGAUAGCUGGGUCAAAUGGUGGUUUCAUUCCAAAUUUUCUAAGGAAUCUCCAUAUUGCUUUCCAGAGUGGUUGCACCCAUUUGCAUUCAGUCCCGCAAGCAAU